rnacentral:rRNA from 1 species
UACAGAGGGUGCAAGCGUUAAUCGGAAUUACUGGGCGUAAAGCGUGCGUAGACGGUUGCGUAAGUCAGAUGUGAAAGCCCCCGGGCUCAACCUGGGAAUUGCAUUUGAGACUGCGUAGCUAGGGUGCGGAAGAGGGAAGCGGAAUUUCCGGUGUAGCGGUGAAAUGCGUAGAUAUCGGAAGGAACACCAGUGGCGAAAGCGGCUUCCUGGUCCAGCACCGACGUUCAGGCACGAAAGCGUGGGGAGCAAAC